GGCCAGACUCCUACGGGAGGCAGCAGUGGGGAAUAUUGGGCAAUGGGCGCAAGCCUGACCCAGCAAUGCCGCGGGAAGGAAGAAGGCCUUCGGGUUGUAAACUUCUUUUAUCAGGGACGAAGGAUGUGACGGUACCUGAUGAAUAAGCUCCGGCUAACUACGUGCCAGCAGCCGCGGUAAUACGUAGGGAGCGAGCGUUGUCCGGAAUUACUGGGUGUAAAGGGAGCGUAGGCGGGACUGCAAGUUGGGUGUCAAAUCUACCGGCUCAACCGGUAGCCGCACUCAAAACUGCAGUUCUUGAGUGAAGUAGAGGCAGGCGGAAUUCCUAGUGUAGCGGUGAAAUGCGUAGAUAUUAGGAGGAGCACCAGUGGCGAAGGCGGCCUGCUGGGCUUUUACUGACGCUGAGGCUCGAAAGUGUGGGGAGCAAACAGGAUUAGAUACCCGAGUA
rnacentral:rRNA from 1 species